rnacentral:rRNA from 1 species
CGUGAAGCCCACCUCAAGAUUAGAUUUCCCAUAGUUUAACUAGUAAGAUCCCUGGAAGACUACCAGGUUGAUAGGUCAGAGGUGUAAGUGCAGUAAUGCAUUAAGCUGACUGAUACUAAUAGAUCGAGGACUUGAUCAA